UGGGGCCCUUUAUAGCUUGUUGUUCGGUGUGAGCCAAGGCUCCGUGUUGAAGGCCGUACAUUGACCUAUAAUCAUGGUUUACUUUUUUUUUAAAUUGUUAUUUGGAUGGAGAGUUGUCUCAUUGGCACUCACACCACAUCUUCCUAUAUCUAUAUAUCUUUUCUAUAUUCAUAAAUUUAGAUUGUUCAGUUGGAGGACUGGAAAGCAGUUAUUUAUAAGGGAAAAUUUUAAAGAUUUAUAGAUAUAAGAAGAUGGUGCAUGAGUUCGAAUGAGACAACUUUCCAUCAAAGUAAUAAUUUGUUUAAAGUAAAACCAUUAUAGAUCAAAGUAAGUCCUUAAACACGGAGCCUUGGCUCACAGCAAACACCACGCUAUAUAGGAACAAGAACAUUGCUAGUGUUAAACCAUUCAAACAGGAAAACCAACGGUCUAAUUUAAAAAAAAAAUUUGUAAGGGUUCCGCGGAACCCAGUGUCUCGCCUACUUUUGCUGUUAAUCGCAGACUCAACAAAAUGAGGAAAAACAUCAAUAAAAAUUUCCCUCUCGAUACUGUCUUUUGAUUGAAAGAAGCUUCCAAGUUUGGUAAAAAAUCCAGGAUAGUUUAUGAAUCUAAUAAAUGUUGUAUAAACUUUAACUGCAGACUGUAAGUAAUGUUAACUGGAAGAAAAACUAAGUCCAUUGAUAAGCAAAAUACGGAAAAAGUGAUUUUUUUUUUUUACAAAAUUUACUUCUGAAUAAUAUCUUAUGAUCAGAAACAAGCUUCUGUCUAAGUUUGGUAGAAAUCCAGG
rnacentral:lncRNA from 1 species